UGAAAGAGACACCCAUCGUGUCUUGACAGCGAUGGAACAGCAUCACCGCAACAUGGGGGGUCACCGACAAACCUUGGCCCAAGGGUGAGGGGGAGUCUUUUAUAAGAAAGGUCAAGGUUGAAAUCUUCCAACCACUCCCACUGACCAGGCAACAGGUGUCGCCGAAUGAGUGGUCUCAAAAAUUGCCUAAACUGGUGGCCAAAGACCCAAACUGACUACCCCGGUAGCAACAUCAUUAUCC
rnacentral:lncRNA from 1 species